rnacentral:rRNA from 1 species
CGGGGUGAGUAACGCGUGGAUAACCUGCCUCACACAGGGGGACAACAGCUGGAAACGGCUGCUAAUACCGCAUAACACAAGUAAUUCGCAUGAAUAACUUGCCAAAGAUUUUAUCGGUGUGAGAUGGAUCCGCGUCUGAUUAGCCAGUUGGCGGGGUAACGGCCCACCAAAGCGACGAUCAGUAGCCGACCUGAGAGGGUGACCGGCCACAUUGGGACUGAGACACGGCCCAA